GAAAAAUUCGGUAAGUAGUUCACAUGUGCUAGAUAAGGACUCUAUGUAGCAUGUUACCAUGGAACUAAUAGAACUAUCAUGGCAAUGAAUCGGUCUAAGGUUUCUCUUACAUACUACUUUAGAAAAACAGUUCCCCUCAAAAGUAUAGAAAGCUUGGUCCACUUUUUAUCCACAUAGUUUGGAAACACCACUGACCCACAUAAAGCAUAGUUCAGGUCUGUAAACUCAGUGACCUCUUCAAUGUGUAAAUCUAUACGUCUAGAUUAUUUGACAAAUUAUCAGGCACCCAUCAAAACAAAGACUAACCUAAGGCCUUGUAGUAGUGAAAAAUAAUUCCAUCAAAACACUUUCAAUGCUCUUUAUAUAUCGGGUACAGUGAGCCACAUUACCUGCGUGUCAUCUGUUCAUCCAUAACUAGAGAGAUGUAGCCCUCAAUCAGCGAGAAAGAGAAGAAGCGGAUGUGACCAGAGUCUUCAUUAGACACCCCAGGUUCCUUUAUCCUGAGAAAUAAUAUGGCCAAAGAAAGUAAAUUAUUCAACUGUCAGUGUUUACCAAACCCAAAUAAAAAUUAGACACCGUGUUCAACAUUAGACACAUUUGGACAGGUCAGGUCCAAACCACCCACCAGUCUAACAAUCUUUAGGUUAGGUAAAGGACUUUCUAUGAUGAGAAAACAAAGUGUUUCAACCCAAGUCACGAAGUGCACCCGUUUAGUCUGCAAGAAAUUGUUUGCUUGAGUCUCUUAAUAGAGACGACAGAUGGCCUCUGGUGACAGCCAUAUGUGAAACAGGAGCGCUGAGGAGAGGUCCUCACCCGCCUGAGUAGAACAUGACGUCCAUGAGCAGGGUGACCACUGAGGGCAGUGUGUCUGGAUCCAAGCUUGUCACACAGAACAUGUUGCUGGGGCUGGACAAUGGGUGGAUGAUAGGUCGAGGCACUGAAAGAGAGAGAAAGCAAACAUUUUCAAGAAGCAAUCCAUGUUGAAUAUAUGGUAAUGGUCCUCUUUCAGAUGUAAAAAAUAAUAAUUAUUUAUUUAUUUUUUACAAUGGUGAAUUUGUUUACAGUUACAGUUGGUUACAGUUUGAUUGCUCCAUUCAAGCUGUAAUCCAGGUGUAAUGCCAGGAAUCUGUUUGUCUGUCUAUGGCUUGAUUAUCUUGCGAACCAGGCAGUGUAUGAAGAUGAAAUUUGGCAGGUGUAUGGCUCAAGACCGAAAGACGUUCAGUGAAGCGGGUAAAGUUGUCUGGAUGCCAAAAAACAAAC